rnacentral:lncRNA from 1 species
GAUCAGACCAGCGGCGGGAAAGCGAAGUUUCUCCUGCCAUCCGGACCAACCGGGAUCGCGAUUUCCCAGGAACAGCCCGACGGUCGGGCCAGUGGAGGCCUGAGCAGGCAGAAAGGGAGGAUGGUAGCUCAACUUCUUUACAGAAGCGGCAGAGAGGCCAACAAGGUUGUGAGCAACGGAGUUCACGUCUUUGCCGUGCUGCCCUGAAACUCUGGGCCUUCCUGCCCUCUGCUGUCACUUGGUGCGCUCACCAUCCUCGGCGAAGUUACUGCCCGCGGGCGCACCGGCCUGCAAACGGAGGGAGGUGCGGGCGGGAGCAGAGGCCGCCCUCCCUGGAUCUCUCUCCUGCCUGUCACAUCUGCAUUUAUUUAAAGCUCGGCUGGUGGUCCUCGCUCUCUGGAAUGCCAGUUGCGGGCCUGGCCUCCUACGACAUUCGCAUUGAUUAGUGAGCCGUUAUGGAAGUAGUGGGGGCAUAGAGGAGGCCGGAGAUUCACAAUAUUCUACCUGCCCCCAUCGCUCCAGCUAGCCUAGAGCCCAGCGAUUCACACUCACCAGAUGGCUGAGUGCGUCCAGAGACCCGAACUUCGAGAACAUUCCAUGUGCAUGGGAACUGACCGUUGUCACUUAAUACGUUGUGGUCAGGUGUGCCCAGACAUCGCAGAAUCUCUGCCGGCUCCCGCGCCGAAUCACGCAGAAGUGAACAAGUGCUGUCACCCCAGGUCCUAAAGUGUAUAUGCAGCUUUCUCCGUAUGAAACUCUUAAGAAAGAGUUUCCUGUGCAAAUCCAGAAAAAAAAAUUGAAAUUGACAUGCCUCGCUUAAAAUACUGCACAUAAAGCGUAAAAAAGACACCGGUAACUUUCAUGGGAGACUCCACCCCAAGCGAUAGAAGCCGGGUGCAAAUUCAUCCUUGAAAAACAAGUUGGGUUCCAGCUUACUGUGAAUCUCUUGAGGGUGGUUGGGAGCAAAUGACAGGGGAGACUUUGGAUUCUCUGAGUCCCCCCCAAAUCCAGUCUGAUUUUGCAUUUGCUUUUGGAUUUGAUAUAAUUAAGGGUGAAAAUAAGGCCCUUCUGUUUUUCUAUUACCCUUUGCUUUUCUGCAAAGCUUUUACCCCAGAGAAAAGUUGUUUUAGUAAUCUGGGAAAGAGAAACCAUGUGCUGAGUCAGCAAAAACGCGGCACUAGGCCAGUUCAGUUCAAUAAUACCGGUAUGUGUAAUGUACACACUCUAUACGCCUUUGUGGAAAUAAUGAAAAAUAUAUUGGAAUUUUCAUGGCAUUAAAAAAUACCCACAAAACCUGUUGGCAGUUGAGAGGCCAGGUUGAGUUAAGUGGUGUGUCUUCUAAUAUACGGAAAUACAUUCUGGACAUCUUUCCUAACAAGGGUUAGAUCUCACAACACUUAACAUGGGAGCAAAUGAGAAAUACAAUUCUCAAAACAAAAUGUUUUUUUCAAAUGGUCGUGUUGCAGAAAGUUAAAACAAUCCUUUCUGCCUAAGGUCUUGUGACAUGCAUCCAAAGUGACUCCAGUGAAUUGAAUCUUAGGUUUUUGUUUUGCACCAAUAAGACCAUUUCUUCAAAAAUGCAUCUUUAAAAGGUCCUAAAAGUCUCCUUGCAAAUCCCAUUAGAACGUUGAUAACCUGUUGAUCUGCAUUCACAUUUGUGUUUAAGGAAUAAAUGUACUUACGAAGAAGUCAUUGUUAAGCAGCUAUUUUUCAAAUGAUUGCUUAUAACUGUCCAAGUGUUAACCUGAAUUUGCAAAAUGUGAGCAUUUCAAUUAUUAAACAACAUUCCAAAUUGUAUUUUCAGUGACAGUCAGUCAGUAUUUCUGGGGAUACUUCUUCAUGAUGCUUGUAAUUUUUUUAGUUGCAAAAAGUAUGGCUUUUUUUAAAAAAAACUAGCAUGUUGAGUA